UACGUAGGGGGCGAGCGUUGUCCGGAAUUAUUGGGCGUAAAGAGCUUGUAGGCGGUCUGUCGCGUCUGCUGUGAAAAUCCGGGGCUCAACCCCGGACUUGCAGUGGGUACGGGCAGACUAGAGUGUGGUAGGGGAGACUGGAAUUCCUGGUGUAGCGGUGAAAUGCGCAGAUAUCAGGAGGAACACCGAUGGCGAAGGCAGGUCUCUGGGCCGAUACUGACGCUGAGAAGCGAAAGCAUGGGGAGCGAACAGG
rnacentral:rRNA from 1 species